rnacentral:rRNA from 1 species
GACGAAGGAUGCAAGCGUUAUCCGGAUUCAUUGGGUUUAAAGGGAGCGUAGGUGGCCUUAUAAGUCAGUGGUGAAAUCUCGAGGCUUAACCUCGAAAUUGCCAUUGAUACUGUAGGGCUUGAGUAUAGUUGCCGUUGGCGGAAUAUGACAUGUAGUGGUGAAAUACAUAGAGAUGUCAUAGAACACCGAUUGCGAAGGCAGCUAACGAAACUAUAACUGACACUGAGGCUCGAAAGUGCGGGGAGUC